UCAAACUUGGUCAUUUAGAGGAAGUAAAAGUCGUAACAAGGUUUCCGUAGGUGAACCUGCGGAAGGAUCAUUAAAGGGUUUUUAAAAAAAUCUUUUUUUUUUUUUUUUUUUCACCUUGUGUGCAACUAUUGAAAAAAAGGUAGCCUUUUGGGAGAUAAGAAUUUCAUCUCACAGAGGGUAUUAUUCAAUUUACAAUUUUUUUGACUAAAAUUUUUUAAUAAAUAAAAACAAUAAAACAACUUUCAACAACGGAUCUCUUGGCUCUCGCAUCGAUGAAGAACGCAGC
rnacentral:misc_RNA from 1 species